UUCUGUAAGCCGUUGAAGGUGUCCUGUGAGGGGUGCUGGAGGUAUCAGAAGUGCGAAUGCUGACAUAAGUAACGAUAAAGCGGGUGAAAAGCCCGCUCGCCGGAAGACCAAGGGUUCCUGUCCAACGUUAAUCGGGGCAGGGUGAGUCGACCCCUAAGGCGAGGCCGAAAGGCGUAGUCGAUGGGAAACGGGUUAAUAUUCCCGUACUUGGUGUUACUGCGAAGGGGGGACGGAGAAGGCUAUGUUGGCCGGGCGACGGUUGUCCCGGUUUAAGCGUGUAGGUGUGUGUUCCAGGUAAAUCCGGUUCACUUUAACACUGAGGCGUGAUGACGAGGCACCACGGUGCUGAAGCAACAAAUGCCCUGCUUCCAGGAAAAGCCUCUAAGCAUCAGGUAACAUCAAAUCGUACCCCAAACCGACACAGGUGGUCAGGUAGAGAAUACCAAGGCGCUUGAGAGAACUCGGGUGAAGGAACUAGGCAAAAUGGUGCCGUAACUUCGGGAGAAGGCACGCUGACACGUAGGUGAAGUGAUUUACUCAUGGAGCUGAAGUCAGUCGAAGAUACCAGCUGGCUGCAACUGUUUAUUAAAAACACAGCACUGUGCAAACACGAAAGUGGACGUAUACGGUGUGACGCCUGCCCGGUGCCGGAAGGUUAAUUGAUGGGGUCAGCGCAAGCGAAGCUCCUGAUCGAAGCCCCGGUAAACGGCGGCCGUAACUAUAACGGUCCUAAGGUAGCGAAAUUCCUUGUCGGGUAAGUUCCGACCUGCACGAAUGGCGUAAUGAUGGCCAGGCUGUCUCCACCCGAGACUCAGUGAAAUUGAACUCGCUGUGAAGAUGCAGUGUACCCGCGGCAAGACGGAAAGACCCCGUGAACCUUUACUAUAGCUUGACACUGAACAUUGAGCCUUGAUGUGUAGGAUAGGUGGGAGGCUUUGAAGCGUGGACGCCAGUCUGCGUGGAGCCGACCUUGAAAUACCACCCUUUAAUGUUUGAUGUUCUAACGUGGACCCGUAAUCCGGGUUGCGGACAGUGUCUGGUGGGUAGUUUGACUGGGGCGGUCUCCUCCUAAAGAGUAACGGAGGAGCACGAAGGUUGGCUAAUCCUGGUCGGACAUCAGGAGGUUAGUGCAAUGGCAUAAGCCAGCUUGACUGCGAGCGUGACGGCGCGAGCAGGUGCGAAAGCAGGUCAUAGUGAUCCGGUGGUUCUGAAUGGAAGGGCCAUCGCUCAACGGAUAAAAGGUACUCCGGGGAUAACAGGCUGAUACCGCCCAAGAGUUCAUAUCGACGGCGGUGUUUGGCACCUCGAUGUCGGCUCAUCACAUCCUGGGGCUGAAGUAGGUCCCAAGGGUAUGGCUGUUCGCCAUUUAAAGUGGUACGCGAGCUGGGUUUAGAACGUCGUGAGACAGUUCGGUCC
rnacentral:rRNA from 1 species